rnacentral:rRNA from 1 species
GUCCUAGCCGUAAACGGUGGGCACUAGGUGUUGGAGGCAUCGACCCCUCCAGUGCCGCAGCUAACGCAUUAAGUGCCCCGCCUGGGGAGUACGGUCGCAAGAUUGAAACUCAAAGGAAUUGACGGGGGCCCGCACAAGCGGUGGAGCAUGUGGUUCAAUUCGACGCAACGCGAAGAACCUUACCGGGGUUUGACAUGCACUGGACCGGUGUAGAAAUACACCUUUCCUUCGGGACCGGUGCACAGGUGCUGCAUGGCUGUCGU